CGUAACAAGGUCUCCGUAGGUGAACCUGCGGAGGGAUCAUUACACAAAUAUGAAGGCGGGCUGGAACCUCUCGGGGUUACAGCCUUGCUGAAUUAUUCACCCUUGUCUUUUGCGUACUUCUUGUUUCCUUGGUGGAUUCGCCCACCACUAGGACAAGCAUAAACCUUUUGUAAUUGCAAUCAGCGUCAGUAACAAAUUAAUAAUUACAACUUUCAACAACGGAUCUCUUGGUUCUGGCAUCGAUGAAGAACGCAGCGAAAUGCGAUAAGUAGUGUGAAUUGCAGAAUUCAGUGAAUCAUCGAAUCUUUGAACGCACAUUGCGCCCUUUGGUAUUCCAAAGGGCAUGCCUGUUCGAGCGUCAUUUGUACCCUCAAGCUUUGCUUGGUGUUGGGCGUCUUGUCUCUAGCUUUGCUGGAGACUCGCCUUAAAGUAAUUGGCAGCCGGCCUACUGGUUUCGGAGCGCAGCACAAGUCGCGCUCUCUAUCAGCAAAGGUCUAGCAUCCAUUAAGCCUUUUUUUCAACUUUUGACCUCGGAUCAGGUAGGGAUACCCGCUGAACUUAAGCAUAUCA
rnacentral:rRNA from 1 species